GGCCUCCUGGUGCUUACCACAGGCUGUGUUCUUGCACUGAAAAAGGAGGCAGAGUGAGCUGAUCCCAUAACCCCCUCAGCCCAUGCCUUGUGCCUGGUCUGAAUUGUGAACAGGGGAGCAUUG
rnacentral:snoRNA from 1 species